AUCUGAAAAGACAUAAUUCUGACAGGUAAGAUGUAGCUGUAUUCUACAACUAAUUGCUUUAUGUGAUCAUGACCUGAUGUAGAGAAACGAAUGCAGUCCAUGUGCAGUAAAGGGUCAUAUUACUGUAUUUCUUAUAUAGGAUGAGGUCAUCUAUGAUGUGAUCUCAAUCUGAGAUGAAUAUAGUAUGACAAAAUGUAGCUGUGAAUCUAUCUAUCUAUAUAUUGAGGCUGUUUCCCCCGUAAAAGGAGUGACUCCACGCUCUCCAAAACCACAAAUCUCCUGAACUGUGGCCCAUCACCGGAUGCAGUUUAAUGUCCGACCAGGAUAAUUACUAAUAUUUCCUAUUACAUAUAUUUCACAGAUGUGAAAGUAACCGGCAAAAGAAGAGUAGUUACCAACAGCAAGAUGAAGGCAGUCAGCCUGAUACCCUACACGGCAGUUUGGACCUUCAUGACAACCACAGCCUAGGGAACAGAUCUGACCGACAGACGAGACAUGACAGCAGUGGCCAACAAAGCAGACAUGACAGCAGCGAUUGACACAGCAGAUAUGACAGCAGCGAUUGAUACAGCAGACAUGACAGCAGUGACCAUCAAAGCAGACAUGACAGCAGCGAUUGACACAGCAGACAUGACAGCAGCGAUUACACAGCAGACAUGACAGCAGUGACCGACACAGCAGACAUGACAGCAGUGACCAACACAAAAGACAUGACAGUCGUGGCCGACGCAGCAGACAUGACAGUCAUGACCGACACAACAGACAUGACAGCAGUGACCGACACAGCAGGAAUGACAGUCAUGACCGACACAACAGACAUGACAGUCGUGGCCAACAUGACAGCAGUGACCAACGCAGCAGGCAUGACAGUCGUGACCGACACAACAGACAUGACAGUCGUGACCGACACAACAGACAUGACAACAGUGACCAACGCAGCAGACAUGACAGCAGUGACCGACAAGGGAGCGAUUGGAUUCAGAAUCUGUCUAGUGAAGACCUUGAUGAUGUUCAACCCUUGAACCAAGGAGAAAACCGUCAGAGUGGAUUUCCUAUGGAUUGGGCAAAAUUCCAGAGGCGAGUCAUUCAUUUGUUGCUGGAUAUGAGGACCUCUUUGCAUACUCUUGCUGGCUCUACACCAAGUGACAAUGAUAUAUCAAUUCAACAGCUGGACUCUAUGGAGGAUGCAGAGGCAUUUAAAAAUGAAUUGUGAACACCCUCUUUUUGCAAAGAAAUGACAGAAAAAUUUGUCCACAUAGGUGGAAUUUCAGUGAAGGAUAUGAUAUCAAAGGUAUUGUGCAGCAUUAUGUCGAAGGAGUUGAUGUGUAAGUACAACAUGUAUGGACAACGGGGCAAAGUAGCUUUUAAAAAUACAAGAUUGUGCAGUGUCAUCACAGACUGUUAUGAAGAAAUUCAGAGAUGUGAGUUGAACAGAAAUACACAUGAUUGUAACAUAAUUGUGUAAUGCCCCAAAAAUGAAGUAAAGUGGAAACUAAAUCAUGUAGGGUAGUGGGCAAAUAGUGAUGCUGGGUCAGGGGAUACCAUAAAAUCAGGUAACAAGACAUUUUUUUUAGGGCUUUGGCCUAUAAAUUCUUGUAGAACUGCACUAUUUGAAACCUGUCCUUACUGUGAAAACUGUUCUAUGAUCUGUCCAACAGUUUGGUUAGACUCAGGAAAACUGUUGAUAGCCACAUUUUUAUUCCAGGUACGGUGUGCAAAAAAUGUAGCAACAAGAUAUGUGUAUUCUCAAAGCAUGAACAGAAAUUUGUAUUAGUAAUUAAGAGCCACACCUGUAAUAUCAAGGCAUACUGUGUAGAACAGUCCUUGAGUUAGGGCUGAGGAGGUAAAACUAAAAUCUGAAAUCUGCCACAAAAUGGUUGUUGAUAAUGAAACUGGCUUUAUAAUGCUAUCCAAGAGCUCAGCUGGAGUCGGAGUCAAUGUAAUUUUACUGACUCCUGCCUCCUUUCACCCACUAUUGCUGUGACUUGACUGCAGGCCUGCCAUGAAUACCAGCAAAUUGUGAAAAUGAUGAUGUACAGUAUUGUAUUGUGGCUUUUCUUUCUCCUGAUGGAUAUUAAAUUUACAUAGUAUUAUAUUGUAUUGUGGCUUUUCUUUCUCCUGAUGGAUAUUAAAUUUACAUAGUAUUAUAUU